GUAUUAUGAGAGGAUUAUGAUGAUAACCCUUUUUCUUUUUCACUUCAAUCUUUAAUCUUUCUUUGUUAAUUUAAUCAGUCUCUGGCUCUGUAUCAUUGUUAUCAUGUAGUGCUGUUUUUCUUUUUCCUCUUUUCACACAUUGCCCUCUGCUGCAGUGAAAAGAUUCCUCUCUAUCCUUCCACAAAAAUCUUAACUAAUUUUGAUUAAUUAGCCUUUAAAUGACAAAAAGAAAAAGUACCCUUAACCAAAUUAGCUUAAAUUUAAUUAUAAGUCUGAUUUAUU
rnacentral:misc_RNA from 1 species